UACGUAGGGCGCAAGCGUUGUCCGGAAUUAUUGGGCGUAAAGAGCUCGUAGGCGGCCUGUUGCGUCCGCUGUGAAAUCCCGGGGCUUAACCCCGGGCCUGCAGUGGAUACGGGCAGGCUGGAGGCAGGCAGGGGAGAACGGAAUUCCCGGUGUAGCGGUGAAAUGCGCAGAUAUCGGGAAGAACACCCGUGGCGAAGGCGGCCCACUGGGCCGGUACUGACGCUGAGGCACGAAGGCGUGGGGAGCGAACGGG
rnacentral:rRNA from 1 species